CUCUGGUAAAUUGUCAAACUAUUCUCACUACUUACUUUGGAAGGGCGCCAGGGCUCUCCUAGCACCAUAACCACUAUUGCUGGCUGUCGUAGUUAUAGUGCGUGGUAUGUUCCUUUAUUUUCUGACUAACUUUGUAUAAUAUCAUGUGAAAGUUUCACACAGAACAGAACUCACAGAUUACUUGCUCCAAACAAAAAUUGUUAAUUAGAAAAUGAGUGUCAGGUUCCUAUCCUGACAACCAAAGUUAUGUUUCAUGUAUAGGUUUUCUUAAUACCUAAUAACCUGUCUGGGGCUUAUUGCCUAAACUGUCUAUUUUAUUAUUGCUCUAAAUACCUAUAAUCUCGCUUAUAGGUUCUGCAUUAACCCUUUGUACUAUAUUUUCCAUUAUAGGCGUUAUUUCCUAAGUUACCUGUUUUAAGCAUAUUCCCUAAACCUCUAUUUAACCACUUAAGGACUGAGCCAAUUGUACAAGUUGUGACAAAUCAAAACGUAAACAAAACCUUGAAUUUGCGCUAUAUGUCUGUUCAGGCGUAAUUCACCCCUUUCAUAUUAUGUGUACCCACACAUAUAUCAUUUUAUUCAGGAGAAACAGCCC